UACAGAGGUCCCAAGCGUUGUUCGGAUUCACUGGGCGUAAAGGAUGCGUAGAUGGUGUAGUAAGUUAUCGGUGGCAAAUCGAGGCUCAACCUCGUGGAAGUCGGUAAUACUGCUAUGCUAGAGGAUAGGAGAGGUUAACGGAACUCCCUGUGGAGCGGUGAAAUGCGUAGAUAUAGGGAAGAACACCGGUGGCGAAGGCGGCGACCUGGUCCGAUACUGACGCUGAGGCGCGAAAGCGUGGGGAGCAAACAGG
rnacentral:rRNA from 1 species